GUGACUGAAGUUCAUGGGAGGACAAUUGGAGUUUGGACACUUUUGACUUGUACCCUCUGCUUUCUUUGUGCAUUUAACUUGGAAAAUAAGCCACUAUACUUGGUGACGUUAUUGUCAUUCAUCUAUGCCUUUGGUCACUUUUUGACUGAAUACCUCUUCUACCUCACAAUGGCCCUCUCAAAUCUGAAAACUGUAGGCAUAUUUGCAGGGACAUCAAUUAAAUGGAUGCUAUUACAAUCGAAUGCGCUUCAAGAAAGACAUGACAAGCAUACCUGAGAAUGAACUCAUCUACUUUCGUUUUCUUUGAUCUUAUUGCUGUUGCAGGGAUUUCUCAGUGUCGGCUUUAUAUUCGAAUGAGUACUAAUUGAUAUCAUCUGUUUGCACUUAGAUUCUGGACUUCUGUCUGAUGGACUCACAAAGCAUUCAGAACAUUCGGAAUGUGCAAUUCUGUUCGAGUAAUUUGAUUAUAAGUUGCUACAAAGAGACAAGAUUUUGAACUUCUAGUGCUUUCUUAAUUGAUGGUAUUUGGAAUC